rnacentral:rRNA from 1 species
UACGUAGGGCGCAAGCGUUAUCCGGAAUUAUUGGGCGUAAAGAGCUCGUAGGCGGUUUGUCGCGUCUGCCGUGAAAGUCCGGGGCUCAACUCCGGAUCUGCGGUGGGUACGGGCAGACUAGAGUGAUGUAGGGGAGACUGGAAUUCCUGGUGUAGCGGUGAAGUGCGCAGAUAUCAGGAGGAACACCGAUGGCGAAGGCAGGUCUCUGGGCAUUAACUGACGCUGAGGAGCGAAAGCAUGGGGAGCGAACAGG